rnacentral:lncRNA from 1 species
UCAUUGUAGCUACAGUCCAGCUUAUUGUGUAAUUCAGAUAUCUUCUUAGCAAUCUCCAUGGAGCCAGAUACUUGUCCUUGGAGAAGCUGUUGUAGCAUUUGCUUCAUGUCAGAAUCAGGAGCAGCAGGACCUUGGUGUUGCUGAGGUGCAAACCCAGGUGGUGGUUGCUGCUGGUAGUUCCCCUAAAAUUGUUGCUUGGGAGCAAAACCUUGGUUGUAGGGAACAAAAGGUUUAUUCUGACCCUGCUGUUGUUGUGGAGGAUACACUUGAUCCUGUGGAUUAGCAACGUUGGUGCUACGGUAAGAAAGGUUGGGGUUGUUAGUCUUGAAGUUGUUAUACCCUUUGUAGCCACCUU